UAUCAAAAACAUCGCCUCUUGCACCCACAGUAUAAGAGGUCCCGCCUGCCCUGUGACGAAAGUUUAACGGCCGCGGUAUUUUGACCGUGCGAAGGUAGCGUAAUCACUUGUCUUUUAAAUAGAGACCUGUAUGAAUGGCAUAACGAGGGCUUAGCUGUCUCCUCCCCCCAGUCAAUGAAAUUGAUCUGCCCGUGCAGAAGCGGGCAUAGCCUCAUAAGACGAGAAGACCCUAUGGAGCUUAAGGCAUACAGCAGACCACGUCAAAGCCCCCGGACAAUCGGGAAAGAACUCAGUGAGCCCUGCCUACUGCCUUUGGUUGGGGCGACCGCGGGGUAACAUCAAACCCCCACGUGGAUAAGGGGACCACCCUUAAAAUCAGAGCCACACCUCCAAUUGUCAGAAACUCUGGCCAGACAGAUCCGGCGAAGCCGAUCAACGGACCCAGUUACCCUAGGGAUAACAGCGCAAUCCCCUUUUAGAGCCCAUAUCGACAAGGGGGUUUACGACCUCGAUGUUGGAUCAGGACUCCCUAAUGGUGCAGCCCGCUAUUAAGGGUUCGUUUGUUCAACGAUUAAAGUCCUACGUGAUCUGAGUUCA
rnacentral:rRNA from 1 species